rnacentral:rRNA from 1 species
UCCUACUUGGAUAACUAUAGUAAUUCUAGAGCUGACCCAUGCUGAAGGGCGCUG